GUAACACCCCGUACUUAAUUACGUGCAUUAGUCAUUGUUAUAUGUGUUGGAGUAUAUGUAUUGAUCCUAAGUUAGGUAUAUAUGAGUUUAAGUAUGAGUAUUGAUUAUUUUGAGAUGGUUUCAAGUGUGUAGUUUGAUUAUAGGUGUAUAGGAAUCGACUUUAUUUAUACCGGAAUUUUCCCGUCGAUGGUUCCAUACGAAGGUUAUUGAAUAAGCUUUCCAACGAUAUAAAGAUUUCCAAAAACGGAUAAGUUUCGGAUAUAAGCGAGCUCGUUCGAAACUUUAAAACGGUGGUCGGGAUGUGAACAGUAAAUGUGCAGGAAAACUACUGAGGCCUGCCAGUUUUUUGGGUCAACUUUGAACGAUCAUAACUCCCUAAAUAUAAUGAACUGGGAGAGCUACCACAUAUCAAAAGAAAUAUCUCUGAGUCUUCUUUCCAAUGCAAUUGGUUUCAUCCAAAUCCAACAUCUGAGUAAGGAGUUAUACUCGUUUUACUUCAGCCUCUCAAAACAGAUUUUUAGGGUCAACUUCAAACGAUCAUAACUACUUGUACAGGACGAACUGGGUGGCUUAAUUUAUAUGAAAUGAAAUACCUUUGAAUUAUCUUUCUAACGAUACCAAUUUCACCCAAAUCCGAUAUCGGAGCAAAGAGUUAUGGCCGAUUUACUUUAGCCUAUCAAAACAGUCCACCAUGGACAGAUUCGGAUUUACUUAAAUUUUUAAGGGCAAUAUGGUCAUUUUCCAUCACCUCAUGGACGAAAAUUGGUCAUUAUAUACAUAUAAUUAGUCUCAUAUCCA
rnacentral:lncRNA from 1 species